CUACGGGGUGCUCCAGUGAGGAAUAUUGCACAAUGGGGGGAACCCUGAUGCAGCAACGCCGCGUGGAGGAUGACGCAUUUCGGUGUGUAAACUCCUUUUAUAUGUCAAGAAAAUGACGGUAGCAUAUGAAUAAGCACCGGCUAACUCCGUGCCAGCAGCCGCGGCAAUACGGAGGGUGCAAGCGUUACUCGGAAUCACUGGGCGUAAAGGACGCGUAGGCGGGUUGGAAAGUCAGGUGUGAAAUCCUACAGCUUAACUGUAGAACUGCACUUGAAACUUCUAAUCUAGAGUAUGGGAGGGGGAGAUGGAAUUAGUGGUGUAGGGGUAAAAUCCGUAGAUAUCACUAGGAAUACCUAAAGCGAAGGCGAUCUCCUGGAACAUUACUGACGCUAAGGCGUGAAAGCGUGGGAAGCAAACAGGAUUAGAUACCCGAGUAGUC
rnacentral:rRNA from 1 species